UGCCCCGUGGCUUAGUUGGUUACGGCGUCCGACUGUUAAUCACAGCAUGUGAUUUAUGAUCACGUGAUCCAACGAUCGGAAGAUCGAGAGUUCGAGUCUCUCCGGGGCAG